UACGGAGGAUCCGAGCGUUAUCCGGAUUUAUUGGGUUUAAAGGGAGCGUAGGCGGGUUGUUAAGUCAGUUGUGAAAGUUUGCGGCUCAACCGUAAAAUUGCAGUUGAUACUGGCAUCCUUGAGUACAGUAGAGGUAGGCGGAAUUCGUGGUGUAGCGGUGAAAUGCUUAGAUAUCACGAAGAACUCCGAUUGCGAAGGCAGCCUGCUGGACUGUAACUGACGCUGAUGCUCGAA
rnacentral:rRNA from 1 species